GGACAUUUAGCUCAGUUGGUUAGAGCGUCGCAUUCACAUUGCGAAGGUCACUGGUUCGAGUCCAGUAAUGUCCA
rnacentral:tRNA from 1 species